CCAGUCCUAAGGCAAUCCUGAGGCAAAAAUUCACUGCAGAUUCCAAAAGCCUCGCAGAAGGCCCUGCCAUUUAAGAACAAGCCCAAGACCCAAGCAAAGGCAGGCAAGGUGCCGAAGAACAGGUGGAGACCGGCCGUCAUACGCGAGCCUCAUGAAAGACAGAUCCUCGCACUGCUGGAUGCUCUGAGUACGGUGCACAGUCAGAAGAUGAAGAAGGCCAAGGAGCAGCAGCACCUGCACAAUAAGGAGCACUUCAGAGCCAAGCAGAAGGAGGAGGAGGAGAAGCUGAAGCGGCAGAAGGACCUCAGGAAGAAGCUCUUCCGAAUUCAGGGGGAGAAGGAAAGAAGCAACCAGAAGUCCAGUUUGAAGGGGGCUGAGGGCCAGUUGCAGUAAGCCUUUGGACUGGAGGGACUGUCCCUGGAUCUGCGGAGGUGGACAGUUUCAAACAUCACAGUUUGAAUGCCUGUGAAUGACAAGUCAGUGGGCAAGAGCCCAAGAGAUGUCUCUACCCAAACUGUGCCUGCAAGAGGAGGAACGGAGAAGCCUGGACUGCUGGGACUGGGUUCGUUCUCACCACCUGGGGCUGUCGAGAUUUAAAGUGAUAAUCUCACUCUGUCACCAGGCUGGAGUGCAGUGGUGCAAUCUGGGCUCAGUGCAAUCUCCGCCUCCCAGGUUUAAGCAAUUCUCCUGCCUCAGCCUCCCGAAUAGCUGA
rnacentral:lncRNA from 10 species